AUAUAACUUGAUUUUGUGUCUGAAUUACGGAAAAUAACUGCCUGGGGAUGGAAACCUCCAGUUGUGCAGGCUCACACUGCUGAGAUCUUCACGCAGAGACAAAGAGCGCGGCCUAAACAUCAGAAAAGGAUUUGGAGGUGAGAAUGCAACACCACGACUGGGUCUGGAGUUACCUGCACCUGCAAAGGAAAAAUGAUCUCAUCUGGACAACAGGACACAAAGACCCACCCCGUAGGGGUGCUCAUAGCCCAAGGCCCUGCUCUGAUGUAAUUGUAUCCAUCGUGGGAGAAGCCCCCUGUUGGACUUCAGUCUGACUCCAGCUGGUGUGGGGUCACCUGGGAGCUGCUGGGACUGUUCACAGCACUCCCAGCCUCGCAGCAUUGAGGCCCAGAUGUCAGACUGGUUUUGACAGAUGGAUAAAGCAGCAGGGCAGAGGUGGGCAGGAGCACACAGGCAGGAAACAGACAGAGUUGUAGCAGUGAGCAAGGAAAUCCAAAACGGACAGACACUAAUUCCCACACGUGCUUUAUCACUCGGGGUGAUAUAGGAUAGUAAUAAAAGACGGCAACCACGCAAACAGGAUGAGUCUCUCUUUACAAUGACACAAUGCAGAGGGAGUAAACCACGCUUUCUCUGUACCUCAGCCACCCUGGGACAAGCUAUGGGUAUGGGAUUGAGGAGCUCUGCAGUUCCCCUCCCACCAAUUGCUGCAGCAAGCAACCCAAAGCAUCCCCCAGCAUCUGAGCUAGGAUUUCUGGGGGAUGUUGCCAUGACACACACCUGGCACUGAAAUACUUCAGCAACAACCAAACAUAGGUGGGUUUCCUUUGCUGAAAGCUGGCCAGGUAGUACUGCUUUGAUAUGGAAGCAGUUGGACCCAUCCCUAUUCCCAGCCUCAUCACAUCGCUGCCUGAAUCCAGUCAUGCUCUCAGCUCCCAGGCAGAGAACUCUGCAGAAGCUCCCAUCACAUCUCAGCUCCUCUUUCUUCACAGAGAGUAUAAGCAAAGUGUUUACCAAGCUGGGAACCCUGGGAAAAAGUGUCCAAAAAAACCCAAACAAAACAAAACAAAAAAACAACCACCUUAUAAGCCACUCUUCACCUUUGUGGAGUCUUUCCCCCAAGAUGGCUAUCUAAGAUUUUCUUCCCAAAAUAAUACUGUUAAGUGAAGCAUGAAUUUAUUUAAACUGAAGGAAAAUAGAAAAAGAUUGAAGUUACAGAAAACCAUGACUUCCAAGGGCAAAAUUUGGUUUUGAGUUUUAGAGAUUUGACUUCCAUGAACUUCAGUACUUUCUUUACAAGUAAAACCUCACAAUGUGGGGGACAUCAAUAUUUAAAUUUACUUUUUCUCCUGAAAUUAUUUAUAAAAGUCUAUCUUCUGCCCCAUCUCCACAUCCCAUUGCCAAAACCCAAGCACAAGGCAAGACCAAGCUGGUGGCUCAGCAAUCCCUCCCACUGCCUUCAACACACUGAGAAGAGCAAAGAGCCACAGUUGUGCACAGGGUUUAAUCAGGAACACAUAGAUAUCUGUUUUCAUAAAACAACUAAGAAGCCACUAUGACUGCUGCAGUACAAUCACAGCACAGGUCAGAGAAUAGUCUCUUGGUGAAGCUGCCCUAACAGAACACUGCUCAGAGCAGAGCACAUCCAUGUAUGCCCUCUUGUUCAUGAGGGAUUCCAGCUACAUGGUCCACAGAAAUGGUGAAGAAACCAUGACACAGCAUGACUGGGAACAUCCCCUACAAGAGCAGAUCUUUGCAAGGAACUUUGGCGUAUCGCUUAGAAACCACCCCACCCCAUCAGAGCCCUGUCCAGGUUCCUCAGAGCAGGGAGAUGGUUAAAACCUGUCAUCCUGCACGGUCAUUCUGCAAGGCUCAUACGUGAAAUUUUGGCAUUUCCAUCAUGGAAACAGGCAACUAGGCUCAUUUCCUCCUCUCACCACCAGACUGAUUAGCUGCAAGCCCAGGCAGACAGCUGAAAUCCCAUCUUGCUUACUUCCUACUCACUCUCUUUUUCCUCUGGUAAUGCUCCUGCCAGGAGUGAUUUCAUUCACUCCUAACAUAAUGGCCUUUUCCCUCCCCUUAGGCCAGGAGCACACCUCUGUCAUGGAGAAUUUCCCUCUGUCUUGUACCUUCCACCCCAUCUGCCUGUAGCUGGGCUGGCAGGUUGGGUUUUUUCACUCUGUUUAAAAUGCUUUUGAAACAAAGGCUCUUUAAUCCCCCUUGGCCUGGCCAGGCACCUCUGUCAGUCCCAUCCUGAUAGUGCAGGCAAAGGAAGGAUCUCACAUGGAGAUGCUCAUGAGGUGGUGGAACCAAGUGUGAUGUUGCUUGGAGAGCGAUCUCCUAGAACCACGUCCUAACGCCUGGCAGAAGGGACAAGGCCAGGAGCAGGACACCUGCCUCCACAUUCCCCAGCCCUUCUGCCCAAAGUGGGGACAUCUUGUCAUAUAUCUGUGCUGCUGGAGAAGUUGAUUUUCUAGAGAGGAGAUAUCCUGGCUUAGAUUUUAGAGACCUCGUCUGCUUUUGAGAGCAUCCCACAGAUGAUCGAUGACUAAAAGUUCACACAAAAGGAAAUUUCAAGAAAAGGGUCUUCAGCCACAACAGGCCAUUGCUCACCACAUAAUUUCCCCAUGAUAAGGCAAGAGAGGCAAUUCAGACUCAAAUCAGACUGGACAACUGUGAAUCACAGCGUUUGUCUCACAUUCCUCCUAGCCAAAACUAUCCCUGCUCAGUCCUGCUUGGGGCUGGGAGUAUCAACCCAGAAACCUUUUCAUUAUUUUGGAGGUCCACAGAAAUCCACUGAAACCUUCUCCACUUCUGAAAAGCUGUGGUCACCGGGAUCCUCCAUGUGGGAUGGGAACCUCCACAUCUCAGCAGCAUUGGAUGCAGGGAGGCAGAUGACACCAGCACCAGAUCCCAUCAGAGUUGGGUGCACAGGAAAAGUAGAUUGUAGUUCACCCAUCACCUCUUAGUUCUGGAGAUCCCCACACAUCACUUCUGCUCCUGCCUCAGUGGAUACAAACCCAGCUGCAUCUUGCCUUGUCAGGACAUGGGAUUUGCCUAAUUACUUCUGCUUGGAUGAGCCCAUGCCAGGCUUGGUCUAUCUAUAAGAGAGGCUUGGAUCUCCAACAUCUCCUUCCAUUGGCUUUACAUCGUCAUGCCUGCAGCUCUCAGGGCUGUUCCACAACCCACUUUUCCUGCUCACAACCCUCACCCCACAGCACUAACACUCAGCUCACUGGUCUGCCCAACUUGUGUUAGGAAAUCCCAUAGGCAACACAGAGCUGGCUUUGCCUUGCAGAGUCACAAAGGCCCAAGGCUGGCAGUUGCUAAUUAUUCUUUCGCUGCUUGCUGUCUUGUUAAGGAGCUGGGGGAUGCAUGUGGGCAGCCAACAAAAACCCAGGGGAUGGACAACAAACAGAGCAUCAGGGAAAGCUUUUUACCAGGCAGGUGGCCUUGCUGUAAGCAUCCUGAGAGACAGGGGCUGGCCCCCAUCCCAGGGUUACCAAUCAUGUUUCCAUCACAGGUUUCUCAGAUGGACAAGGAUUUGUUCACAUUUCAUUAUUAUUCUUUUUUUUUUUUUUUUCCUUGGACCAUGGUUGAGAAGCCCUGGUUGCAAAGCUCAGUGUGAAAACCACGAUCCUUCUUGCACAACCCAGAAGGCAAAGAAUGACCUAGCAUUGCUCAUGGUGGUGAAAAAGCAGAUGGAUGGGAUGGAUGCCCCAUUUCUUUUUGAGCUAAUCUCAAGAGUUUGUCUGCCUGAGGGAGAAGCCUGAAAAGCUUUGGGUCCAUGAUGGCCAGCUGCCAGGAGCACAGCCCAGUGUUGUUCAGAGCCUACAGAAAGGAUGUUAGCACAGCCAGACUGCGGCCCUUGGCUGCUGUAGACACACUGUCAUCUCUCCACCAAAAGGAGACCAAACAACUAACCAAACAGCAGCACAUAUCUUCCAUCAGCAGGCACAGGCGCAGCAGACAUCGAAGCCUUUGCCAAAUGCACUCGUGGGCCACCAGCUGAGAGCUGGCAUUGGGCUAAUUACAUCAGAAUUCAUUAGGUCAAUUACUGCCUGUGUUCCCAAGGGGCUGAAGAGGGAUUCCAGCAAGUGCUGAGCACAUUGCAGCAGUGCAGUGCCAGGAGGCUCUGUCUCUUUCAGUGGCCCAUGCAGGAUGCAGUCACCAUUUCCGUCCUAUAUUUGGGGAUCUUCCUGAUGAACCAUUUGGGAAGCAGGAUGGGAAAAAGCCUUAAGAAUUAGGAAACUACUGGAGGGUGUUUUUCACGUGGGACAUCUUUGCUCAACAACACAGAAUGCACCUGAGGAGAUGGCAGCUGCUGACCAUUGCUAAACAGCAUCACUUGGAGAGGAAGGAUCAGAAAAGAGGAUAGUACGAGCUUAUACCCAACACUCCCACCUCCCCAUGUUGAAAAUAUCCACCAUUUGCCUUGGAGGUGCAUGAACUCAUUAACCUGUACAAAGGGACACACGGGGAGCAUCACCGACAGAUGCCAGCACUUCUGGCUGCACAGCUCUGAAAUUAUGGGACCAGGGCUUUGAGAUGCAGCAGAGCACUGCAGUGCACUGCCAACAGCCCACACCAACAGCCACAGACCAAAAGGCAGCAGCCACAUCACCAUUGGCCUGGGCUUCACGUGUCACUGAUUGACUCAGGUUUUAAUUACACCCCAAUAUCCCCCUGUCUCCUACAACACAAAGCUUUCAGCCAGGCAGAGAUUCAUAAAGAGCAGCAGCAACCACAGCAGCCCAGCCUUCAAGUCAGAUGCUAACAGCUUUGGACAAGUGUGGGAUUUUUAUACCCCUAUCUGCAGAGAAAUCUGAUGUUUAGUGCCCUGACUGCAAACAGGUCACCCUUAAACCCCUGAACAUCCCAGGCAAAAAAAAAAAAAAAAAAAAAAAAAAAAAAAAAAAAAAGAGGAAAAAAAGCAGUGCCGGAGGGGAAUUGUACUGGCUCUAAUCCCUUCUGCCAUUCUGCAUAUUCAUGGAACAUUGUCAUAACACAUCAGCAGGACAAAAGGUCUGUCGGCACCUCCUCCUCAUGCCUUUGAUAAACCACGAGACAAAUGCUGAGUAAACACUUGGAAUCCAUUCACUGCCCCAUUCUCAUCGGGAUGAGAAAGUCCUCCUCUUUCUUGCAGGCCCAGAGCUGCUCAGCCUAAUAAAGUACGGCCCACGGGCUGUGAAAAGAGAGGCCUAUGGAUGGUGAAAACAUGGAUUAUCUCAUUUCACCCUCCUUGUGUCAGACCCUGCUCACAUUUUGAGUGCACUUGGGCUGACACACACUGAAAAAAAAAAAAAAUAAUUAAAAAUUAAAAAAAAAAAAAGAAAGCCAGGGGGAAGAGGGUAUUUAGAGAACAGGAGAACUGUCUGUAAAAUUUCACAGAUGACCUUUCCCUAGUGGGAAAGUGAUUUGUUCCUGCCCCAUGACCCACACCAGCCAUCAUCAGGAGCUUUCACAUCCACAUCAGCAUUUCCCUAAACAUUGUGGUGCCAGACAAGAAAAAAAAAAACAGCACAAACUGAGCUCAUUUCAAGGCCUCAAACCCUGAGAAGUUCACGAGGCAUUGCCAAAAAGUGAGGUUGUGGCUUAAGAUGUCCCAUGCUUGGAACCAACCAGCUCCAUAUCUACAGGAGCGUGGGAGAGCUGGCUAGGACACAGAAGUGAUUAAGACUGGAAAAGGCCACUAAGAUCAUCCCAUCCAACCAUCCCUGUUCCACCAAGGUAACCUUGUAACCAUGUCCCUAAAAUGGAGCAUGGAGCAGAACAUCUCCUUCCACUACUGUCCCCACCCCCAUGUGCAAGAAGGGGGAUCCAUCUCUGCUUCUCCACGUCACCAGUAUCUUCCAAAUCCUAAACAUUGGGUGACUUCCACAAAGUUGCUCAGGACACCAGUUGCCAAAAUCUCCACUGCGUGCUUCCAACACCUACAGCAAAAGCCUCGGCUGCCCAUAUUUCUGGAGGCUUGGGCUAAAAGAGACUGCAAUAAAACAAACAAACAAAAACUUCAAUGACUCCAAACAGGGUAAGGAACUGGCUGUUUGAAAGCAGUCAUCUGAAAGAGAUAUUUUCCAAGUAAAUACCAUCCUUUAUUUGGAAGAACACGAGUGGUUCUCAAAUUGAAAAUUAUCUUCAGAGAUAGUACAUGGGGAAUGAGCACCAGAAAUGCAAAUACGCCCAUAAUAGAAAACAAGAAAUGGUUCUGAAUUGCUGUCAAAUGAUUAAGAAACAAUAAAAGUGCCGUUGAUUAA